rnacentral:rRNA from 1 species
UACAGAGGCCUCGAGCGUUAGGCGGAAUCACUGGGCUUAAAGCGUGUGUAGGCGGACUGGUAAGUACCUUGUGAAAUCCCACAGCUUAACUGUGGAACUGCUCGGUAUACUGCUGGUCUUGAGCCACUCAGGGGCUACCGGAACAAAUGGUGGAGCGGUGAAAUGCGUAGAUAUCAGGAGGAACACCGGUGGUGUAAACGGCUUUCUGGACCAUAACUGACGCUGAGGCACGAAAGCGUGGGUAGCAAACAGG